UUCCUGCCGACGUAGGCUCCUUCGGCCGUCCGUCCUCUCGUACUUGGAGGCUGCAGACUAGCAGAUCUCCAGAUGGAUGGAGUGGUCGCAUGCGCUCCAUUCGUUCAUCCGCCAGUUAUUCGCUUCACCUCCCCAGGACACAUGACAAGAGUCCAUUUCAUCCUUUGUGAGAAGAGUGGAGGUAGGUAUAUUUUGCUAAACAGUAUUCUUCCUUAUUAUUUAUUGUCGUGCUUCUAAACCAUUUCAUCUUUGCCCUGUUUCUGUAUCUGUAACCAUUUCACCACUGCCAUGUUACUGAACCAGUAACAUGAAAUUUAUUCUUUAAUUGUCUGCAUCCCAGUUAUAAUAUCCGUCUUUUAUUUCUUAUUCAUGGCAUGAUUGUAAUUUAGCUAGGAUAUAAUGAUUACUAUUGCUGGAUGUUUGGUUUGGUGCUUCCUGAUUGAGUUAGGCUGCCUAGUGCUUCAAGUUAGCUAUGCUUUCUUUUGAAGUCCCGGUUGCAUCAUGAUUUGUUGUUUUACUAAGAUGCUGAUUAAUACACAUACUUGGUUUGGCAAAAACUCUGUUGGGUGGAAGUGCAUCGGAGACAGCUUCUCAACAUGAUGCAUGGCUCCGUUGGCGCGGCGGAGCGAUGACACUGCCACUUGCCCGGCCUCUGCUGACUUAAUAUUCGCCGAUGCUACCGCGUCCAUCUUUAAGUCGCCUCACCUUAUGUCCCCAAGCUGACAGAAGUCAAGGCCACUGCGCCUCUGAUCCAGCAUCUAUUUUAUGUAAUGUGCUUGUGACCAGAGUGUAAAAGUUUAAUUUUUAUUCGAAUUACUAUGAUCGUCCUAGCCUUGUUGUGUAAA